GCAGCGGGCUGGCUCCUGGACAGCUACAAUCUUAGCCUGUUUUCUGCAGCUAUGAUGAAUACCGAAGGGAAUGUCAGAAAAUAAAAGAAGCAAUGGUUGCAGAAUGAGCAGACCCAGGGCAUCCAUACCUUGUAUGCAGCCUUCAUUGAUUCAUUAGUCAGGGAACUAGAUGGGUACCAAAGUGUCUUGACCAAUUUAGGCACUCAGUCUACAUUUGGAUUUAUGUAUUCAUGAAUGGAAAAAAAACCCCUGACUCUUUUAAGCCUAGAGCAGAAAAUAUUCCAAUACAGACCUUCUUACGUGGCGUACAAUCAGGAGACUCAAUUUAGUGCAAGUGCAGUGGAACAAUUUCUGAGAAACAUCAGACCUUACCACCCACAAAAUAAUGGAAAAG
rnacentral:lncRNA from 1 species